rnacentral:tRNA from 1 species
GGAGGCGUCUCCGGUCUGGUGACCGGCGCGGUCUUCAAAACCGUCGAGCGACAGCUGCUGCCGUUGGCGGGNUCGAUUCCCGUCCGCCUCCGCCA